AAUGAACGCUGGCGGCGUGCUUAACACAUGCAAGUCGAGCGAGGCGGAAGGGGGCAACUCCUUCCAGUCGAGCGGCGGACGGGUGAGUAACACGUGGGUAACCUGCCCGGAAGUGGGGAAUACCUCGGGGAAACUCGAGCUAAUACCGCAUGACAUCUUCGGGACGAAAGUCCUGACGAUCAAAGCGGGGUCGCAAGAUCUCGCGCUACCGGAUGGGCCCGCGCCCGAUUAGCUAGUUGGGAGGUAACGGCUCACCAAGGCUUCGAUCGGUAACCGGCCUGAGAGGGCGAUCGGUCACACCGGAACUGAGACACGGUCCGGACUCCUACGGGAGGCAGCAGUGGGGAAUCUUGCGCAAUGGGCGAAAGCCUGACGCAGCAACGCCGCGUGGAGGAUGAAGGCCCUUGGGUUGUAAACUCCUGUCGGCUGGGAAGAAAUCGUUCGGGGUUAAUACCCUCGGACGUUGACUGUACCAGCAAAGGAAGCCCCGGCUAACUCUGUGCCAGCAGCCGCCG
rnacentral:rRNA from 1 species